rnacentral:rRNA from 1 species
CAGUAGCCGCGGGAAUACAGAGGGUGCGAGCGUUAAUCGGAUUUACUGGGCGUAAAGCGUGCGUAGGCGGCUAAUUGAGUCGGAUGUGAAAUCCCCGAGCUUAACUUGGGAAUUGCAUUUGAUACUGGUUAGCUAGAGUGUGGGAGAGGAUGGUAGAAUUCCAGGUGUAGCGGUGAAAUGCGUAGAGAUCUGGAGGAAUACCGAUGGCGAAGGCAGCCAUCUGGCCUAACACUGACGCUGAGGUACGAAAGCAUGGGGAGCAAACAGGAUUAGAUACCCCUGUAGUCCCUGUCUCUUAUAC